UACAGAGGUGGCAAGCGUUGUUCGGAAUUACUGGGCGUAAAGGGCGCGUAGGCGGCCUUCUAAGUCGAACGUGAAAUCCCCGGGCUCAACCCGGGAACUGCGUCCGAUACUGGAAGGCUUGAAUCCGGGAGAGGGAUGUGGAAUUCCAGGUGUAGCGGUGAAAUGCGUAGAUAUCUGGAGGAACACCGGUGGCGAAGGCGGCGAUCUGGGAAGAUACUGACGCUGAGGUGCGAAAGCGUGGGGAGCAAACAGG
rnacentral:rRNA from 1 species